CUACGGGAGGCAGCAGUGGGGAAUUUUGGACAAUGGGCGAAAGCCUGAUCCAGCCAUUCCGCGUGAGUGAUGAAGGCCUUCGGGUUGUAAAGCUCUUUCAGCCGGGAAGAAAUCGUGCAGGCUAAUAUCCUGCAUGGAUGACGGUACCGGACCAAGAAGCACCGGCUAACUACGUGCCAGCAGCCGCGGUAAUACGUAGGGUGCGAGCGUUAAUCGGAAUUACUGGGCGUAAAGCGUGCGCAGGCGGAUGUUUAAGCCAGAUGUGAAAUCCCCGGGCUUAACCUGGGAAUGGCAUUUGGAACUAGACAUCUAGAGUGUGUCAGAGGGGGGUGGAAUUCCACGUGUAGCAGUGAAAUGCGUAGAGAUGUGGAGGAACACCGAUGGCGAAGGCAGCCCCCUGGGAUAACACUGACGCUCAUGCACGAAAGCGUGGGGAGCAAACAGGAUUAGAUACCCCCGUAGUC
rnacentral:rRNA from 1 species